GAUGAACGCUGGCGGCGUGCCUAAUACAUGCAAGUCGAGCGAACAGACGAGAGUGCUUGCACUCUCUGACGUUAGCGGCGGACGGGUGAGUAACACGUGGGUAACCUACCUAUAAGACUGGGAUAACUUCGGGAAACCGGAGCUAAUACCGGAUAAUAUUUAGCUUCGCAUGAAGCAAUAGUGAAAGACGGUUCUUCUGUCACUUAUAGAUGGACCCGCGGUGUAUUAGCUAGUUGGUGAGGUAACGGCUCACCAAGGCAACGAUACAUAGCCGACCUGAGAGGGUGAUCGGCCACACUGGGACUGAGACACGGCCCAGACUCCUACGGGAGGCAGCAGUAGGGAAUCUUCCGCAAUGGACGAAAGUCUGACGGAGCAAUGCCGCGUGAGUGAAGAAGGUUUUCGGAUCGUAAAACUCUGUUGUAAGGGAAGAACAAGUACGUUAGUAACUGAACGUACCUUGACGGUACCUUACCAGAAAGCCACGGCUAACUACGUG
rnacentral:rRNA from 1 species